CAGAGCAGGACCUGCCGCACGAGCAGCCAGUGGGGCCCCGGGCAGCAGGAUGACCAGCUCCUAGUGCCCGGAAAAUUUGAAGAGGAAACUUAAAUCCAACACUGAGUUUUUGAGCUACUGCAUUAAAGUACCUACCUUGAACCCUGCCUUCCUCACCCUCGGCCUGACCCAGAUCAUCAGUGAUGGCGGCAUCCCCCCGUCUGUCACCAGACACUGGACUCCCCGCCCGCCGCUGAGUGUAAGAGGAGCUGGCCUGAUCAACAGGCAUUGUCAGACACCGGCAGACUGUCUACAUGGCUGUAAUGAACCCUUCUGAAAAGAAGGGCGUAAACGCCAACGUGCCAGGCUGGUGACUGCCACGUCCCACUGCUGGUGUCAGGGACGAGCGGUGCUGUGGCCCCCUCCCCGCACUGUGGGAGCAGAGCACCUGCGCGACUCUUCUCCGGGCCGUGCGUCAGGUCUGUGUGGAAGGCACUGUAAAAUCUGCACCCACAUUCUCGGGGAGUUGUUCUGAUGUUAGCAGCGGAUCCUAAUAAAUUUUCGUCAAAUCACAAA